AUGUUUGCUUCGGCAGCACAUAUACUAAAAUUGGAAUAAUACAGAGAAGAUUAACAUGGGCCUUGUGCGAGAAUGACACUCAAAUUUGUGAAGCAUUCCAUAUUUUU
ensembl:snRNA U6 U6 spliceosomal RNA